GAUGAACGCUGGCGGCGUGCCUAAUACAUGCAAGUCGAGCGAACAGACGAGGAGCUUGCUCCUCUGACGUUAGCGGCGGACGGGUGAGUAACACGUGGAUAACCUACCUAUAAGACUGGGAUAACUUCGGGAAACCGGAGCUAAUACCGGAUAAUAUAUUGAACCGCAUGGUUCAAUAGUGAAAGACGGUUUUGCUGUCACUUAUAGAUGGAUCCGCGCCGCAUUAGCCAGUUGGUAAGGUAACGUCUUACCAAGGCAACGAUGAGUAGCCGACCUGAGAUGGUACUCGGCCACACUGGAACGAAGACACGGCCCAGACUCCAGCGGCAGGCUACGGUCGGGAAUCUGGCGCAGUGGGCGCAGAUUUGACGGAGCACCUCGGCGUGAGUGAGGAGGGUGCUCGGCUCGUAACACUCUGUCAUCAGGGAAGAACAAAUCUGUACGUAACUAUGCACAUCUUCACGGUACCUAGUCAGAAAGCCACGGCUAACUACGUG
rnacentral:rRNA from 1 species